rnacentral:rRNA from 1 species
UACGGGGGGGGUAAGCGUUGUUCGGAAUUACUGGGCGUAAAGGGCUCGUAGGCGGCCAACUAAGUCAGACGUGAAAUCCCUCAGCUUAACUGGGGAACUGCGUCUGAUACUGGAUGGCUUGGAUUCGGGAGAGGGAUGCGGAAUUCCAGGUGUAGCGGUGAAAUGCGUAGAUAUCUGGAGGAACACCGGUGGCGAAGGCGGCAUCCUGGACCAAUUCUGACACUGAGGAGCGAAAGCCAGGGGAGCAAACGGG